rnacentral:rRNA from 1 species
UACGGGGGGGGCAAGCGUUGUUCGGAAUUACUGGGCGUAAAGCGCACGUAGGCGGAUUUGUUAGUCAGACGUGAAAUCCCUCGGCUUAACCGGGGAACUGCGUCUGAUACUGGAUGGCUUGAGUGUGGGAGAGGGAUGCGGAAUUCCAGGUGUAGCGGUGAAAUGCGUAGAGAUCAGGAAGAACACCGGUGGCGAAAGCGUUCUGCUAGACCUGUACUGACACUGAGGGACGAAAGCUAGGGGAGCGAAUGGG